GGCGGCGUGCCUAAUACAUGCAAGUCGAACGCUUUUUCUUUCACCGGAGCUUGCUCCACCGAAAGAAAAGGAGUGGCGAACGGGUGAGUAACACGUGGGUAACCUGCCCAUCAGAAGGGGAUAACACUUGGAAACAGGUGCUAAUACCGUAUAACAAUCGAAACCGCAUGGUUUCGGUUUGAAAGGCGCUUUUGCGUCACUGAUGGAUGGACCCGCGGUGCAUUAGCUAGUUGGUGAGGUAACGGCUCACCAAGGCAACGAUGCAUAGCCGACCUGAGAGGGUGAUCGGCCACAUUGGGACUGAGACACGGCCCAAACUCCUACGGGAGGCAGCAGUAGGGAAUCUUCGGCAAUGGACGCAAGUCUGACCGAGCAACGCCGCGUGAGUGAAGAAGGUUUUCGGAUCGUAAAACUCUGUUGUUAGAGAAGAACAAGGAUGAGAGUAGAAUGUUCAUCCCUUGACGGUAUCUAACCAGAAAGCCACGGCUAACUACGUGCCAGCAGCCGCGGUAAUACGUAGGUGGCAAGCGUUGUCCGGAUUUAUUGGGCGUAAAGCGAGCGCAGGCGGUUUCUUAAGUCUGAUGUGAAAGCCCCCGGCUCAACCGGGGAGGGUCAUUGGAAACUGGGAAACUUGAGUGCAGAAGAGGAGAGUGGAAUUCCAUGUGUAGCGGUGAAAUGCGUAGAUAUAUGGAGGAACACCAGUGGCGAAGGCGGCUCUCUGGUCUGUAACUGACGCUGAGGCUCGAAAGCGUGGGGAGCAAACAGGAUUAGAUACCCUGGUAGUCCACGCCGUAAACGAUGAGUGCUAAGUGUUGGAGGGUUUCCGCCCUUCAGUGCUGCAGCUAACGCAUUAAGCACUCCGCCUGGGGAGUACGACCGCAAGGUUGAAACUCAAAGGAAUUGACGGGGGC
rnacentral:rRNA from 1 species